CCUACGGGUGGCAGCAGUGAGGAAUAUUGGUCAAUGGACGGAAGUCUGAACCAGCCAUGCCGCGUGCAGGAAGACGGCUCUAUGAGUUGUAAACUGCUUUUGUACAAGGGUAAACCUGAAUACGUGUAUUCAGCUGAAAGUACUGUACGAAUAAGGAUCGGCUAACUCCGUGCCAGCAGCCGCGGUAAUACGGAGGAUCCAAGCGUUAUCCGGAUUUAUUGGGUUUAAAGGGUGCGUAGGCGGGUUGAUAAGUUAGAGGUGAAAUGUCCGGGCUUAACCCGGGAACUGCCUUUAAUACUGUUGGUCUAGAGUGUAGAUGCGGUAGGCGGAAUGUGUGGUGUAGCGGUGAAAUGCUUAGAGAUCAUACAGAACACCGAUUGCGAAGGCAGCUUACCAAUCUAUAUCUGACGUUGAGGCACGAAAGCGUGGGGAGCAAACAGGAUUAGAUACCCGGGUAGUC
rnacentral:rRNA from 1 species